AGUAAUAUGUCUGAUUUAAGUAAUAAAUUGUAAAUUUAUUUAAGAAUAUAAUAAUAAUAUUCUAUUACUA
rnacentral:tRNA from 1 species